GUCAUGGUGGCUCAGUGGUUAGAGUACCCGCCUAAAGAACGGGAGGUCGUGGGUUCGAACCCCGGCCGAUUCA
rnacentral:tRNA from 1 species